AUUGAACGCUGGCGGCAGGCCUAACACAUGCAAGUCGAACGGUAACAGGAAGCAGCUUGCUGAUUUGCUGACGAGUGGCGGACGGGAGAGCAAUGUCUGGGAAACUGCCUGAUGGAGGGGGAUAACUACUGGAAACGGUAGCCAAUACCGCAUAACGUCGCAAGACCAAAGAGGGGGACCUUAGGGCCUCUUGCCAUCGGAUGGGCCGAGAUGGGAUUAGCUAGUAGGUGGGGUAACGGCUCACCGAGGCGACGAUCCCUAGCUGGUCUGAGAGGAUGACCAGCCACACUGGAACUGAGACACGGUCCAGACUCCUACGGGAGGCAGCAGUGGGGAAUAUUGCACAAUGGGCGCAAGCCUGAUGCAGCCAUGCCGCGUGUAGGAAGAAGGCCUUCGGGUUGUAAAGUACUUUUGUAGGGGAGGAAGGGAGUAAAGUUAAUACCUUUGCUCAUUGACGUUACCCUAAGAAGAAGCACCGGCUAACUCCGUG
rnacentral:rRNA from 1 species